rnacentral:snRNA from 1 species
UUAUCCAAAAACUCCAUGUAU